GCCCCCGUAGCCUAGUGGUUUACGGCGUCGACCUUCUAAGUCGAAGAUCGCGGGUUCGACUCCCGCCGGGGGUUCUA